rnacentral:tRNA from 1 species
AGGGGUUUAGCUCAGCUGGAAGAGUGUCGGUCUCCAAAACCGAAGGUCGCAGGUUCGAGCCCUGCAACCCCUGCCA